rnacentral:rRNA from 1 species
AUUGAACGCUGGCGGCAGGCCUAACACAUGCGAGUCGAACGGUAACAGGAAGCAGCUUGCUGCUUCGCUGACGAGUGGCGGACGGGUGAGUAAUGUCUGGGAAACUGCCUGAUGGAGGGGGAUAACUACUGGAAACGGUAGCUAAUACCGCAUAACGUCGCAAGACCAAAGAGGGGGACCUUAGGGCCUCUUGCCAUCGGAUGUGCCCAGAUGGGAUUAGCUAGUAGGUGGGGUAACGGCUCACCUAGGCGACGAUCCCUAGCUGGUCUGAGAGGAUGACCAGCCACACUGGAACUGAGACACGGUCCAGACUCCUACGGGAGGCAGCAGUGGGGAAUAUUGCACAAUGGGCGCAAGCCUGAUGCAGCCAUGCCGCGUGUAUGAAGAAGGCCUUCGGGUUGUAAAGUACUUUCAGCGGGGAGGAAGGGAGUAAAGUUAAUACCUUUGCUCAUUGACGUUACCCGCAGAAGAAGCGCCGGCUAACUCCGUG